AAUUCGAGGAGAUUUGUCCCUCGCCGCCGCCACUCUCUCCAAAAUCCCACCUCGGGAUCCUCCCAGAUCCCCUUCUCCUCGGUUUCCUCCUCUACCCAAUCCCGAAGGCACUGCGGUCUCCUCUGCUUCCCUCGUCCUUGUUUGAUCCCAGGGGCAGCCACCGCAUCGCUGUUCCCCUGCCUCGGCCUCGCGAUCCCGCGCCUCCCUCCUACAGCCCAUGCAAGUCACCAGGAGGUGGGUUCCCGUGCUGCACAGGAGCUCCUCGUCGCCCGGAUCCGUUCCCCAGGCCGCCGGACCUUCCUGCAAGCGUCCUCGCCGGUGACCAGCAGGUACCAACAAACCGUCAGCCACCAGGAGCUCAAGACGCCGCUACUCCUCGCCGGACCGCUGCCUCCGGCUACCUCCACCUCGCCGAAGUAGGAGCUCCCAUGGCCGCCGCCGCCCUGGCUGCCCCAUAGGAGUUCUCUGCCGCCGGAUCGGGUCGCCUCCACCCGGUUCCUCUCGCGCCGACCGCCCGCGCCGGAGUCCUGCGCCAAGCCGCCGCCGUUGCCUCUGUUUCCCGCCGCUGCACCAUGCUGCAACGAACGCCUGCUCGAUCCAACCGCCCCGCGUUGACCGAUCCACUGGCCUGCGCUAGCCCAGCGAGACCUCCUGCAGCCCAGCACCACCAACCGGGCCUUGGCCCAUGGCUUCGGUUUCGUUCCGGAGUUGUGAGGAUUCGUUCGACUACGU
rnacentral:rRNA from 1 species